GGGCCAGUUAGCCAGUUAGCGUGGUGCUGAUAACACCAAGGUCACGGGUUCGAUCCCUGUUUGGUCCC
rnacentral:tRNA from 1 species